AGUAUAUAUGAGGAGCCCAUUUACUCUGUAUUCCCUAAAUUGGAGGCAGAUAAUCUCCUUUAUCUUUGUUUACACUCAGCUGCUCACAGGUUUAUUGGGAGGAAAGCAGCUUUCCCUGCGACUCAGAAUGCAAUUACUGUGAGAUUGUCCCUGUGCUUCCAAUGGCUCCCAGUCAGCAACUGAGCCACAGGUGCUGCCAGUGAGGAGAGCUGCCAGGAGCUUCUCAGGGCAAUGCUGGCCCUUUGCACCUCACACCAUGACAGGCUGCUUUGUAAAGAGAGAGAGCAACAGAAGAGCAGGAUCACGGAGCACCCUUGUCUGCAAGAGCCCCACACUGUUCAUCGCCCUCAUCCCUGGAUAGCUCUGGUAGUCUCCAUAUCCCUGUGUAACACCACAGCACGGGCUCUCCAGUGCAUACAGAGGACUGGCCCUGCCUAGAACCCUUUGCACUGGACUGAAGAAGAAGCAUUGGUUUCAGACUGGCACUGCCUGGUUACCAGAGUGGAAGCAGCCACGAGAAGACGCCUGAUGUUCCUUUUCCUCAGAUACAGUGGGGCUGCAUCCUCAGGACUGAACACUGCAGGGAUUGCAGCAGCAGUGCUGGGGCUGGAUGGUGGAGCCACAUUCUUGGCCUGAGACAGUCUCUGCAUGUUUAGUACAGGGUGCAAAAGAGCCUCAGAAUGGCUGAGCCAGGUGGCCUGGAUCGUAUUUCUGUGGAAACAAAAACAGAUCAUCUCCUUCCCUCUAAACACCCUGCCAAGACAGAGACCAUGCUGGACUACUCACCAGCAGUGUGGGAGAUGUAGCCAAAUUCAAGACAAACAUUGACAUCAGCUUUUGAAUCCUAACCAGCCUGUGCAAAGAUACCCUUACACUUUGUUUUGUUUCCAAGCCCAUAUUCUCCAGAGGCCUGGGAACAAGCUGUUUUCUCACACUGCGUGAGAGUGGAGUUAGGAUGAUCUAGAGUCUGGGAAGAAGGGAACAACACAUCUUAAUGGGGUCACACAGUCUUGUCUAACCUUUUAUUUUUCUAUGGGCCUCCUGUUUUGUUGUCCCUAGCAGGGUUUCUGGAUGACCCCAAAAGCAUAAGUCAGAGCAGAACAGCAAUUUGUGGAAAACACGUCACCCCAGUACAGCACACAAUGUGUUCCUCUUUUGUAGGGCAGCAUGGAUCUCAAAGCAAACUGGACCAACGUUUCUGCAGCAUUCAGCUCCUCUUUCACUUUCUCUCCACCUCCUUAUUGCACUUCUCUGUCUUGUGACAAAAUAGCCAUCUCUACAGCUUCCAGCUGGGAUGUUACAAACACAGGGCUAGGACCACGGCCACUGCAGGGUUAAAAAAGAGCAAUGUGUUGACAUGCAAUGAGAAUAAUGACUUUGUCCCAUCAAACGUUUUGUGGGAAGGGAACCAUGCCAUCAGAUUUGCCGGAUUUGAAGCUUUUUAACGGAUAGUUUGGAAGCACUCAUUGGCCAUGAGGGGCUGUACCCAUCAAGGUGUUCUGUACCAGGGGGAGCUUAUUACCAUGAGCAAGACCAGGCAGCUCAGGGCAUUACUCAGUAAUCACCUUGGUGGACGCAGCAAGGACAGUCAUCACCUGGCCUGGCACCAUGGCCUGGACUCAGGUGAAAAUGUUCAAUAGCCUGUGACUAAAUGAGUGGAAAAUGGGGAUUCUUUCUGUCACAUAAUAUUCCUGGCAGAUAGUCAAUCUCAUCUUCUUGUGCUGGAGAACUACUGCGCCCGUCUAUGACUGGAGCAUAUGCUGUGCUGCUCCAAGAGCACCUGUCAUGGUCAGAAUAAUCCAGACCUCUUAAAACAAAAAUGUGUCCUUCAGUGCAGGUUGGGGGGAAAUUAAGAGGAGCCUUGCCUGAACACCUCUUUCCCCUCACUCUGUUUUUUUGGGGAAAGCACUGGUAUAAAGGGUUGGAUGGAUAGAAACAAGAGGUAUUGAUACUCUAGAUGAUCUUUUUUUGGUGUUUCAAGAACACUCAUGCACCUGACUGUGAUGUUUUGGGGGCAUGGACCCUGUUUGGUAGCAUGGUGGGAAAUGUUGCAUCCCAUGAGCUCGCUAAGGAGCUGGUACAGCUGAGUUUCCCCAGUCCUUGCUGGGCUGUUGGAUCCGUAACCACAACAUCCAGGACCAAACUCUGAAAAUCAGAUUUUCAUCUGAUCCUUCAUUUCCACGUCCUUAGAAGGUUUGGGCCAGAGGUAUUCAUGAAGUUUUUAUUUGAUUCACUCUUUCACAAAGUGCUUAAACUGGUGGUAAUCAGAAGGAGCAAGCAAUCUCCUCUGGUGUGUUAAAAUGGUCUACUGGUGAUAAGGGGCCUCUCUUUUGGGGCUCUCUAUAUGGUUCCUACUAAUAAAAUAAUCAGUCUGUCACA
ensembl:lncRNA